GACGAACGCUGGCGGCGUGCUUAACACAUGCAAGUCGAACGGAAAGGCCCCUUUGGGGGUCCUCGAGUGGCGAACGGGUGAGUAACACGUGAGUAACCUGCCCUUGACUUCGGGAUAACUUCAGGAAACUGGGGCUAAUACCGGAUAGGAAUCCUUGCUGCAUGGUGGGGGUUGGAAAGCUUCGGCGGUUUUGGAUGGACUCGCGGCUUAUCAGCUUGUUGGUGGGGUAGUGGCUUACCAAGGCCUUGACGGGUAGCCGGCCUGAGAGGGCGACCGGCCACAUUUGGACUGGGGUUCGGCCCAGACUCCCUCGGGAGGCAACAGGGGGGAAUCUUUCACAAUGGGCGGGAGGCUGAUUGAACCACGCCGCGUGGGGGAUGGCGGGCUUUGGGUUGGCAACCCGUUUUCGCCGGGGCGAAGCUUGUGGUGACGGUACCUGCAGAAGAAGCACCGGCUAACUACGUG
rnacentral:rRNA from 1 species